GAAUAUUGGACAAUGGGGGGAACCCUGAUCCAGCCAUGCCGCGUGUGUGAAGAAGGCCUUUUGGUUGUAAAGCACUUUAAGAGAGGAGGAGGCUACUCUAGUUCAUAACUAGGGAUAGUGGACGUUACGCGCAGAAUAAGCACCGGCUAACCCGGUGCCAGCAGCCCGGGUAAUACAGAGGGUGCAAGCGUUAAUCGGAUUUACUGGGAGUAAAGCGCGCGUAGGUGGCCAAUUAAGUCAAAUGCGAAAUCCCCGAGCUUAACUUGGGAAUUGCAUUCGAUACUGGUUGGCUAGAGUAUGGGAGAGGAUGGUAGAAUUCCAGGUGUAGCGGUGAAAUGCGUAGAGAUCUGGAGGAAUACCGAUGGCGAAGGCAGCCAUCUGGCCUAAUACUGACGCUGAGGUACGAAAGCAUGGGGAGCAGACAG
rnacentral:rRNA from 1 species